CUCUAGUGACCGAUAGUGAACCAGUACCGUGAGGGAAAGGUGAAAAGCACCCCGGAAGGGGAGUGAAAUAGAACCUGAAACCGUGUGCUUACAAGUAGUCAGAGCCCGUUAAUGGGUGAUGGCGUGCCUUUUGUAGAAUGAACCGGCGAGUUACGAUUUGAUGCAAGGUUAAGCAGUAAAUGUGGAGCCGUAGCGAAAGCGAGUCUGAAUAGGGCGUUUAGUAUUUGGUCGUAGACCCGAAACCAGGUGAUCUACCCUUGGUCAGGUUGAAGUUCAGGUAACACUGAAUGGAGGACCGAACCGACUUACGUUGAAAAGUGAGCGGAUGAACUGAGGGUAGCGGAGAAAUUCCAAUCGAACCUGGAGAUAGCUGGUUCUCUCCGAAAUAGCUUUAGGGCUAGCCUCAAGUGAUGAUUAUUGGAGGUAGAGCACUGUUUGGACGAGGGGCCCCUCUCGGGUUACCGAAUUCAGACAAACUCCGAAUGCCAAUUAAUUUAACUUGGGAGUCAGAACAUGGGUGAUAAGGUCCGUGUUCGAAAGGGAAACAGCCCAGACCACCAGCUAAGGU
rnacentral:rRNA from 1 species